UUAUCUAUCAAGGUCGAUAGAUUCCUUAUAGGUGCAUACCCUACUCCUACAGUGAACCUACUGCAGCCAAUCUACACUGCAUGGACCCAUAUGGCUAGAGACCAUGUAUGUGUGUAGUCAAACUACAAUAACCUCACUGUGAGUAGCCGAAGCAUUGUAGGUCAAAGGACCAGUCACACUACUGCAACAUCAAGCAAGUCACUGACGAGUGGAUAGACAUCCAAGUGACUUCUUGUAUUGGUCACGCUCAGUACCCUUGUUCUCUAACAAGCACCUGCACUAUUACUUCAG
rnacentral:lncRNA from 1 species